CAUUUUAGAGCAUGACCCUGAAUUUUCUUAUCUGUCCAUAACAUAGCUUGCAAGUGUGUCAAUUUUAAGGGAACUGAUGAAUUUUAUAUUUUGCCAACUCUUUGGAGAAACCUGCCUUUUGUGUUUACUUUAACAUUGUCUAAGCCAAGUUCCUCAGUCCCUCUUUCAUUUAUUUAGGGUCAAUGUAUGAUGAUCAUUUAUGUAUUUACUGCUCAACUGUGAUCAACCUUUAAAUAGUGCUCAGAACAUGCAAAGCAGAGAACAAUCCUUGUAAUCCUCAGCAAUUGACUAAUUGAUCCUAUCAUGGAUGCCACAAAAUAAAGAGCCAAGUUUAGUGGGCUUAGUUGAGCCAACAAGGUUAACCCCUUUCAACUUGGAUUGAUCGUAUUUUCUUUUAUUUUGUGUAAUCAGUGAUGUUUUUAGUAAUUUGGAGUAAUUUUAUUAACUUUGUUCUCUUUUGUUUUGAUUUUAUUAAGUUUUUUAAUUUUGGUAUCCGUGCUAAUUGGUAUUUGGUUGUGGAUUUUCUCAGUUUUUUCUUAUUUUAUGAUUAGUUCAUCUUGUUUAGUUUUUAGAAAGUCAUUGUUUGGCAGGUGCUUUGAAAGUUCUAUUUGAGUUGUUGCAGAUAUUUAGGGUCCGCUUGUUUUUGUUUUCUGUGAACAGUUUCUGUUCUCGGAGAACUGAAAAACAGAAAAUAGUUCAAAAUCUGUUUCGUUGUUAGUUUUCUGAAAAUUGAGUUAACAAAAAAAGGCCAAAGUUUAGUCUUUUGUAUGUCUAGGUUUCAGAAUUCUUAAAAACUGUUUUCAGAGAAUUGAACCAAACAAGGCCUUAGUGUCUAUGCUGUCGUGUAAGCUAAUCCUUUAGAAAGAAAUUGACAAAACUAUUAAUUGUGGGUUCUCAUAACUUAUUGCACUGUUUCAAAUUUCAAUGCUGAGAAGGUGAGAUUCCUAGAAGGCGUUGGAAAUAUUCUAAGGUUUAUCUUGUUUUUAUUUGUUUAAUUAAAUUUAAUUUUUUUGUUUGUUUUUGAAGAAAUAAUAGAAUUAUAUUAACAGCAAAGAAAAACGUACAGCAAUAAGGUUGGAAAAAUCUUCCCGAGGGAAAUACAACUAAAAAUUGUUACAAAAUGGCCCGUCUGACUCUAUCCUCCUCACACAUGUAGAACAUUCAGGGAAUGAUGAAAGUAACUGUUUUCAGGAACUUCUGAGAUGCUUAUUUCUUUGCCAACAAAUCGACCCACUUGUUGGUUGAUCUAGGAGCCAGACUAAAGAAUUAGACAAGAAUAGGAUCUCUCAUAAGACUACUUUAAUGCCAUGACUCAAGCACUGUACCAUGAGACUUUCCAGCAGGGCUCAAAUCUCAGCGUCAGUUGCAAAAUUGACACCCGUUAGUCUAGAAAAAGUAGUGACUGUGUUCCUAGCAGCACCGAAAAAGUUACUUGCACUACCAAGAUGGUCCUCUUUACAAAGAGAGAGCAUCCAUUAAAGUUUCGUUUCACUCUCCCUCUUGAAGGAGGCUUGUAUGUGAAUGAAACAUUGCUGGACUACACUUCAGGAGAAAUUGCAAUUACCUAGUGAUGCGGAGCAUAGACUGCCCCAUGAACGAGACUCCCCCAUGGACAUACACUAGACUAGGCGGCUAACCUAAAGGCUGCAAUAGCUGCAGCAGUGAUAUUUUGUACUUUCUUAGCAAUUAAGUUGUCCUAGAUAUUUUGUGUUUCCUUAAUUAUUGAGGAAACUUUUUAGGAAAGCUUUUGGUGCCUAUAUGACAGGCAUAUAUGUAACUCAUAUAGUCAGUUGUUUUCAAAUUGAAUAUAGAACUGAGGUCAGUUUUCCUUCCCUAAAUUAUUCCUCUCUUCUCUCGUCCUCUCUCCUUCUCGUCUUUUCUCUCUUCUUUUUUCUCUUUAUCUCUAUCUCACCUCUGUUUCUGUUCAUCUCUCUCACCUCUAAUUCUGUUAUUUAGUUCUCUUCCUAAACUUUUCUAGACUUCAAUUGCAAUCAAACUGUCCGUUCUACAUCACCUAGUCACUCAAAAGAAAAAUAGCCAAAGGCACAUCUUUUGACUCUUUAGAAAUGGAAGCCCAAAAACAAGCAUCAAACUGAAGCCCCAAAAAAAGUCGCUACAGCUCACUUCACCUUGCUGAAGCCCCCAAAAGUGAUUUGUGUUUAGUGAAUAUCAGUAUAACAAACCAGUUGACUUGCAUCUAUGGUGAGGAGAUGCAAAAACCAAAUGGGUUGAUGUAAAGAGAGAGACACUUUCUGCAGUCUAUUGAAACUGGGGCAUAGCUUUGGUUGCCAACUAAGAAGCACGGACACGGAUACGGGACACGGAUACGACACGACACGGACACGGCGACACGGCAAAUCCAAAAAAAUUAGGACACGGACACGGCGAAUAGUAUAUAUAUAUAUAUAUAUAUAUAUAUAUAUCAGCAUUAAUAAUUUAAAAAAAAAAACACUGAUAUGUUUAGGUUGGAAUAUAUAUAUAUAUCACUGAUAUGUUAGUAUAUAUAUAUAUCAGCAUCUUUAGGACACGGACACGGCAAAUUGUGGCAUCUUUAGGUUAGUAUGUAUAUAUAUCAGCAUCUUUAGGGUAGUACAAAACAAAAAACAGAACAUAUCAGCAUUAAAAAUAAAAAAAAUAAAAAAAUAAAAUUAACAUAUCAGCAUUAAAAAUUAAAAAAAAAAAAAAAAAUU